CGUUAGCGACAGAAGAAGCACCGGCUAACUCCGUGCCAGCAGCCGCGGUAAUACGGAGGGUGCGAGCGUUAAUCGGAAUUACUGGGCGUAAAGCGCAUGCAGGUGGUUUGUUAAGUCAGAUGUGAAAGCCCGGGGCUCAACCUCGGAAUAGCAUUUGAAACUGGCAGACUAGAGUACUGUAGAGGGGGGUAGAAUUUCAGGUGUAGCGGUGAAAUGCGUAGAGAUCUGAAGGAAUACCGGUGGCGAAGGCGGCCCCCUGGACAGAUACUGACACUCAGAUGCGAAAGCGUGGGGAGCAAACAGGAUUAGAUACCCUGGUAGUCCACGCCGUAAACGAUGUCUACUUGGAGGUUGUGGCCUUGAGCCGUGGCUUUCGGAGCUAACGCGUUAAGUAGACCGCCUGGGGAGUACGGUCGCAAGAUUAAAACUCAAAUGAAUUGACGGGGGCCCGCACAAGCGGUGGAGCAUGUGGUUUAAUUCGAUGCAACGCGAAGAACCUUACCUACUCUUGACAUCCAGAGAACUUUCCAGAGAUGGAUUGGUGCCUUCGGGAACUCUGAGACAGGUGCUGC
rnacentral:rRNA from 1 species